rnacentral:misc_RNA from 1 species
GAUGAAGAACGCAGCUAAAUGCGAUAAGUAAUGUGAAUUGCAGAAUUCAGUGAAUCAUCGAGUUUUUGAACGCAUAUUGCGCCCUCUGGUAUUCCGGGGGGCAUGCCUGUUCGAGCGUCAUUAAAUAACCCUCAAGCAUAGCUUGGUGUUGGGCUUUUUUACAUCCUUGACUGGGAUGGGCCUAAAAAUUAGUGGCGAUGGCUUUUUUACUUUCAAGCGUAGUAAAUCUCGUCUUGCUAAAGAGGAAAAAGAUUUUUUUUCUGCCAAAAAUUUUAACAUUUAAAGUUGACCUCGGAUCAGGUAGGAUUACCCGCUGAACUUAAGCAUAUCAAUAAGCGGAGGA